GACGAACGCUGGCGGCGUGCCUAAUACAUGCAAGUAGAACGCUGAAGGAGGAGCUUGCUUCUCUGGAUGAGUUGCGAACGGGUGAGUAACGCGUAGGUAACCUGCCUGGUAGCGGGGGAUAACUAUUGGAAACGAUAGCUAAUACCGCAUAAGAGUAGAUGUUGCAUGACAUUUGCUUAAAAGGUGCAAUUGCAUCACUACCAGAUGGACCUGCGUUGUAUUAGCUAGUUGGUGGGGUAACGGCUCACCAAGGCGACGAUACAUAGCCGACCUGAGAGGGUGAUCGGCCACACUGGGACUGAGACACGGCCCAGACUCCUACGGGAGGCAGCAGUAGGGAAUCUUCGGCAAUGGACGGAAGUCUGACCGAGCAACGCCGCGUGAGUGAAGAAGGGUUUCGGAUCGUAAAGCUCUGUUGUAAGAGAAGAACGAGUGUGAGAGUGGAAAGUUCACACUGUGACGGUAUCUUACCAGAAAGGGUCGGCUAACUACGUG
rnacentral:rRNA from 1 species